ACUCUUCCUAACAAAGGCUGAGUAAGAAACUGGGUUUCUGACCUCUCUACCCCAGCAAGCUCAGAGUCCCCUGCCUUUCCUCUGUUCUGGCUCUGUGUGUUUGCAUUACUCACUCUGUGGUUAGAAGUUCAGGCCCACAGACAGAAGGGAUUAGCCUUAUCUCAGAUGAGAUUUUGGACUUGGACUUUUGAAUUAAUCCUUCAAUGACCAUAGUUUAAGAAGAGAUAUCUUGAAAACACGGAAAGAGAAAAGUCAAUACAAUAUUUCCUAAUUUUUUAAGAGGUCAGAGAAGGGAGUUACUGUGUGGCCUGGAGCAGGUGAUUCUGACUACCAAGGGAAAAUUGGAGUACUACUCCACAAUGGAGGGUCUGCAGGAUGGACCCGGCAGCUGGUGCCCUGUGUGAGGAACGCUGCAACGGACUGCGACAGAACCCUCGAAAACGAAGGUGAAGAGACUGUGCAGUCAUGUGACAGACACAUCAAACCAUACCAUGGCGUGGCUAAGACCCAAGCUGGUAUCAAAAAUAAAGGAAACGACGCUGCAGGACCCGCAGCCCCAGACGAUGUGGCUUCCUCCGAUGACACAGGCCCCAGACAUUACCUGGGGGAAGCUGAAGAAGACAACUCAGGAGGCCGAGUGAAUCCUUCUCUGGACACAGACACCAUCACUCCAGAUAAUCUGUUCCUUGCUAUGCUCUCUAUUGUACCUUGCAACUCUCAUAGGGUAUUCACCUUUCUUAUUCUCUCACUUUGCCUGCAACUCAUACCUGCUACAUUCUAUUGGGCCCAUCUUCUAAGAUCUGCCUUUCUUCCAACCUGUUACCUUGGCAGACACCCCCUUCCCAUCCUCUAAUAAUGUAACUGCUUAGCUGGGAGGGGUUGACAUGCCCCCAGUGGGGUUCCUUAAUAAUGGCACACAUUGAACUGAGGUGCCAAGUAACACUACAUAUCUCUCCUUGAUUGGAAAAGAAUAAUAGUGACUAUACUAAUGUUUGACUUAUGUUAUUUACUAAUUCUAGGAUGCAAAGCCGGAACACGAGCUGUAACCGCUGCGCCUGUCAAAUCUGUCACUGCACACAUCUGUACUAUUCAAUCAACAAAACCCGAUGCUAAAAACAGAAAAGGGGGAGACGCGGGAGAUCGGUCAGAGUGGUAGGAGAAGGUAUAGGGAAAGGAACAGACCUUCUGAAAGGCGGGAAGGCUCUGGAUAGCUUCAGGGAUGAAUAAGCUGAAGGCAGCUGUUCUCUUACCCUGAGGCAGAGGGCAAGGGGUAGGUAAGGAAGUAUAGGGGAAUUUGGCAUAAACAGGCUUGUUUACUUACAUUGUCCGGAAACCGACUUUGAUCAUCAGGGCAGGAGACUGCUCCCUGAAAGGGGGAAUAAUAAUGUUAAUUACCCACAGAUUGUGUUGGCUCCAGGCUUUCAUUAUUUUGUCUGUACUGAAUAAAAGCAAGCAGCUCCA